rnacentral:misc_RNA from 1 species
GAUGAAGAACGUAGCGAAAUGCGAUACUUGGUGUGAAUUGCAGAAUCCCGUGAACCAUCGAGUCUUUGAACGCAAGUUGCGCCCGAAGCCGUCAGGCCGAGGGCACGCCUGCCUGGGCGUCACACGCCGUUGCCCCCCCAGCGCCUCCCUCGGGAGCGUCGGGGGGAGCGGACGAUGGCCUCCCGUGCGACACCCCGCGCGGUUGGCACAAAUGCCGGGUCCUCGGCGACGAACGCCACGACAAUCGGUGGUUGUCAAACCUCGGUUGCCCGUUGUGCGCCUUCGUCGCGCCACGAGCGGCCCGCGAUAGCAAACGGCUCCGCUCCGGCGGAGCUUUCAACGCGACCCCAGGUCAGGCGGGGUUACCCGCUGAACUUAAGCAUAUCAAUAAGCGGAGGA